GACGAACGCUGGCGGCGUGCUUAACACAUGCAAGUCGAACGAAGUGGCGAAAGGGAGAGUAACGCAUAAUCAACCUGCCCUUCAGAGGGGGACAACAGUUGGAAAAGACAGCUAAUACCGCAUACGGAAGGAGGGGAUUGCGGCGGAUUAGACGGUUGGAGGGGGAACGGCCCACCAAGGCGAUGAUCAGGAGCCGGUCUGAGAGGGUGAACGACUACAUUGGGACUGAGACACGGCCCAGACUCCUACGGGAGGCAGCAGUUGGGAAUCUUCCGCAAUGGACGAAAGUCUGACGCAGCAACUCCGCGUGAGUGAUGACGGCCUUCGGGUUGUAAAGCUCUGUUAAUCUGGACGCGGUACCGGCAUAGAAAGCCACGGCUAACUACGUGCCAGCAGCCGCGGUAAUUC
rnacentral:rRNA from 1 species